UGGGGAAUAUUGCACAAUGGGCGCAAGCCUGAUGCAGCCAUGCCGCGUGUAUGAAGAAGGCCUUCGGGUUGUAAAGUACUUUCAGCGGGGAGGAAGGGAGUAAAGUUAAUACCUUUGCUCAUUGACGUUACCCGCAGAAGAAGCACCGGCUAACUCCGUGCCAGCAGCCGCGGUAAUACGGAGGGUGCAAGCGUUAAUCGGAAUUACUGGGCGUAAAGCGCACGCAGGCGGUUUGUUAAGUCAGAUGUGAAAUCCCCGGGCUCAACCUGGGAACUGCAUCUGAUACUGGCAAGCUUGAGUCUCGUAGAGGUGGGUAGAAUUCCAGGUGUAGCGAUGAAAUGCGUAGAGAUCUGGAGGAAUACCGGUGGCGAAGGCGGCCCCCUGGACGAAGACUGACGCUCAGGUGCGAAAGCGUGGGGAGCAAACAGG
rnacentral:rRNA from 1 species